CUCCCUCCUGCCGGGCCCCUCUCUCUCUUGCUUUCUCUCUCUCUUGUGCGGGCUUCCUCUCUCUCUCUCUCUCUCUCUCUCUCUCUCUCUCUCCUUCUCUUUCUCUCUCUUCUCCUCUGUUGCACUGCUGCAAUAAAGCUCUCUUGGUCACUCUGAGUGUUGCGGUCACUUUCCUUUCAUUGAUGUCGAAACCCGGGAGAGGGUUAAAACCCACUUUUGGGUCUCUUCCUUCGGAAGUGCCACUCACCCGACGACCUGAACCUAUUUUCUCGAUUGCCAGAACUACAUCCACAACCUACCUUCGAUUGGUGAGUUUCCCCUUCCUGGAGUCCUAAACCCAAUGGUGAUGUCGGCAGGAUUUGGCUGUUGAUUGUCCGGCAAACCUGUUUGCCCACCUGCGGGGAGGAACACACCCCACCACAGCCUUCAAGGCCACGAUGGCCCUCAGGGACUCCUUCUUGGGCAGAUUAGACUCUUGGGUUCAAAUUUAUUCUCCUUCCCAGCUGGUAAUUUACCAGCAUAGGCUUCUUAGGUCUCCCUCAAAAGACUGUGAAACCUCCAGGGACACAUAACAGAGAACUUAACAUCACAUCCUACCCAGACCUCACGGUUUUGGUGACUCUCCUAAAAUCCUAGUCCUCACACCUUCAAGACUCGGCCUCCAGAGAGAACCUUACCCUUCCCUUCCUCUCUCUUCCCCUGUCUCUCUCUUUCCCCUCUUUCCGGCCCUGGGAGUAUCCGGCCUCUCUAGGAGGGGUCCCGAAAAGCCUUGGCCAAGGUCUCCCACAGGCUCCAGCUCCGUCCAGGACGAGAGCUUCGACUGUCAGGAUUCGGUGACGACCAAUCUCUGCAGCUCGAACCUGCCACUAAGGCACUCCUGAGUUUUGGCUCUAGCGAGGACGCCCCUUUUGCCAAUAAAUCAGUUUCCUCCUUCUCUCUUAUAUAUACAGUUGCGUCUCCUUCCUUCUCCUCUAUACCAAGUUUGCAUCCCCUUCCCUCCUCCUUAUACUACUUUGUGACAUGGGUAAUGUGUCCUCUCUGCCGGUCGACUCUCCCCUACAAUGCCUCUUGGAUAACCUCAAAACCCUCUCCUUGACACCAGACAUCAAACCCCCAAAAUUGAUCAAAUAUAGCACCCAGGCCUGGCCCACUUAUCCCUUAGACAACCAAAACAGAUAGCACCCUUUUGGGUCCCUGGAUCCCUCCAUUCUAAGGGAUCUCUACUGUUACUGUGGGCAUUGGAAAAAAUGGGUAGAGAGCUGCUAUGUCAAAGCUUUCUUCCUGCUUGUGCUCUCUGCACCUCUUGCAACCCUCUACAAAUUCGUCUAGCUUGCAAACCAACUCCCCCAACCACCGAUCCCCAAUCUCCUCCUCCUCCAGACUCAUCCACUUCUUUUGACCCUGCGGAUGAAUUUCCACCCUAUCGCCCAGCUCCAACAGAUCCUCACCCUCAGCCUUCUGCCCCAGACUCUCCGCCAUCACUCCCACCUCGGUAACCUGCUUUCUCUCCUCCAAUUACUAGAUCAAAAACGUACACCACCACCCUUCCUCAGACCGUUGCCCCCUUGCUGAGGUAGCAGUUACUAAAGGAAUCCCUUUACCCACUCACUCCUCUCUUCUACUGUUAGCACCCACACCGGGUCCCACCAGGUCCUUUUACCAGCUAACCCAAAGCUCAAAUGAGCUGAGGAGAGCCCUCAGACCCCUAUCCAAGAUCUGGUGAAAUGGCCUUUAAAGUUGCUUUGUCAUCACUGAAAACAGGUUACUAAGAAUUAAAGUCCCUUACAGGCUUUUUGGGAUAUUCAUUCCCGUCUUCCCCUCUGCUCUACCUGUUCUUCUGCUCAAGUUUUCCUUGCUAGGGAAAAUCCCAAACCCCUUUCCCAUUAUUCUUUCACAUCUCCUUCCUCAUUCUCAGAUCGAAAGGAGCUGCUGUCAGCCCCGCCUUCCCGUCUUCCCCCUCCCUACCAGGCCCACAGAAAAGUCUUAACUGACCUUCUCCAGAAGUCUUCACCAUGGCUGAUUUUAGGACUUUCAGCAAAAGAAUCUCUACAAAAGAGUUUAAUGUAGAUAAACUUCCUAUUUUCAUGUUGCCCUGUUUUACUUGGCUACUGUCUGGAAAAAAUCAGCACUCCAAAAGCUAGACACCUCCUUACUAGUUUUUCACAAAAAUAUGUAAACAAGGCCUCUGGCCUUGAGCUGGGCUUCAUAGUGCUGACUACAUUUCUAAGAUAAGGAAGUUACCAACUGGGCUCCAUGGUAACAGCUGGCAGGGGGAGGAAAGAAAGGGAAGAAAAAGCUCUCCCCUUCCCAGGUGUCCUUGAAGGGUUAACUUGCCCAGAACAGAGAAAAAAAGAAAGAAAACUGCUUUUUGUGAACUUCUGCAGACUGUGAACUUCUGAGCCCCUCCCCUUACAUGCUGGGUGCAAAAUUCUGAAACUACCUAAACUUGGGGUUCAGGGGGUUAAUUGAUUAUGGCAGAGGCUGUGUCCUCUGAAUCUGCAACCAAAUAAGACUGUUUGGGAUAGAAGUGACGAUAGAAUCCACGGAACGGAACAGGCAGGGAUGUUGUCAUAUUAAGAUAUAUGAAUUUGUAACAAGUGCAAAAGUACUUUACCAUUUGUCUACACUAAUUAACACAUUACGUUCAUUCUUUUAUAGAGAAUAAUUUUACCUUAUUGAACGGAUUUAAGUAUUUAAAUGUUCCUAACAAAGUUUCACACUUAUUUCUUCCUCAAUUGUCUCCCCUUUCUCUUUAAUCUUCCAAGAUUCAUACCUAAAUUAUCUUCCUUUUCCACAAAGAUCUAUUCCACAAAGAUAUACUAAUUCAUUUAUUCUCCCAUAUUCGUUCACUAUUUCUUCCAGAUACAUACUACCGAUAUAUCCAAACUCAUUCACUAUUUCUUCAAGACACAUUAAACCAAUAUAUACAUUUAAAAAACUCGUUCAUUAGAACUUCCUUAAUUCGUAAUAUGUUGAUACCAAUUUGUUGUUGACAAUAAAACGUUAUAACCAUUAUAUAAUAAAGAAGAUAAUGAGAAGAAACAUAUAAUUUAUACAAGUAUAAAAGGUCCAUAUUUUUAUUAAUUCUAUCUUCGAAAAUUUUUUAAUAUAGUUCGACCACAAGAGGUUUUCCAAAGUACCAUUAAAAUCCGAAUAUUUUUAUUGUAUAACCUCUAAAUAAAUAUAGUAAAUUAAAAGAUAUUGACCUGGAUAAUAGUUAUUCUAAUUAUAUUUCAAGAUAUUUGACCCAUGUUAAAUUUACGUUAUAUAACACAAUCGACCAUAAGUACACUGGAGCUUGUUGUUAUAUACAUUAGAAAUAUUUCACUAUAAAUUUUUGUUUCUAGUCGAAGUUAUGAUCUUGUGAAAUGGAUUCUAAAUAUUUAGAAUCGGAAUGGACUCUAUUCCGACACGGAGGGUAGAAUGGUGUACAAUCUUACUGAGGUUUCAUCCGGUCUGAAGUCGAUUUCGGGCUAUGAGAAUUAAAUUCCACUUUGACUGAAACGUCCUACAAAUGCUAGUUCUGAAUUUCAAUUUAAUUUUACCGGUUCAUUUGGUUAUAAACCGAGACCGGGAGACUCAGUCAGACUUUGGUCCCUUGUCCCCUGAAGAGAUUUCAUGAAACGUUGAGACCCGGUGUAUUGGAGGACUAGUCCCUCUAAUUACUCUGGUGACCUCUUACUUUUCGGUUAGUCACAUGAACGACACUUAUCCUCCCAGUACCCUCUGUCCUCUGUAGGGACUACGAAGGUUCCCUUCGGUGUACCAGUUCGUUCUGGACCUGGGUAGGAUCGCGUUUAUCGUGAUCGUCUUGAUGCUUCGACGAGAGUUCAAGGGGGUGCUCACUGGGGAUACCCUUGAGUCGAUUGAGAAUUGUUAUCUAUCUUUGUUUCAGUUAAAACUGGUCGAACUAGAAUUUGUGGAUGGUUUCUGUCAAUUCGGUUUUGUGUCAGUAAGGACCCUCAUUACUUCCAGUUCUUGUCGAUCUUUUCUCCUCUGUCGUUGAUCCGAUUGUCAGAGGUACCCCUUAUAAGUCAGUUCAUACCGGAACCGAGGAGGGACAGUGUCCUGGGGAUAAACAAUCAGAAGAAAUACAAAGAGGAUUAUCCUGGUACUGGUAAUUUGACGGAUGUCUUUAAGGACGUUCUAGUCUAUGUGUUUAAGUGGUUGGUCAGACAGUUAGUUGAUGAAGAAAUUUUGAUGGUCGGGGACUACGGGUUCUGUCUCUGGAUGCUGAGUACUGGUUGAGGAGAUCGACGUCUCUGAGACGCGGGUGGAUUUUGGGAGAGAUUGGGGAAAAGGUCUAAAAUGUUGGGGAGAAAGUGAAGGAUCCUUACUCUUGAUGAGAGGUCGUCCAGGUGAGACGAACAAGACAGACGAGAUGUCGUAGGGGUGUUCCUUCGCAGUUUGGAUUUGAGGGGUCCGUAGUCUACUCCUCGGUGGUCGGUCCGCUUCUGACCAUGUAAUUGAAGUGAGUACACGGAUCCGUGUUUUUCGAAGCGAUGGAUGAAUGAAACCAACUAUGAAAAAGUCCAACCUAUCUUCGGAAGGGAUGUAGGUCCCUUCGACGACUGUGACAGUGGAGGUAGGAGUAACUGUCUAGUAAGGGUCCAAGUCUGAAGGGCGGAGGUAGGUCAGUCUGUUGUCAGACCGGAAGUGAAGAGUCCAACAAGUUGAUCAGAGGUUUCCGGAGUUGUAGUGAACCUCCGAGGUGUAGGGGGUGGUUGGGGGUAAGAGCCCAUUCCAACUCUCCGGAUUGCCGUAAGAGUUCCUAGUAGAGUGAUUUGAACGAUAACUUGAGUCCGAGAGGACCGGGUUAGAGGACGCAACCGGGAGGGGACUUAAGUCCGUCGGGGUUCCCGGGGGAGUCCGGAAUCGGGGAAACUCGUUAAGAUACCUACGGGAAAGAAUUGGUGGGUUUCGAAAAGUUAGGGAGGAGGAGGGGAACACAGGAUGGACAGGAUAGAGUGUGAAGAUGAGUUUGAGGAUUUCCUUGUACGUCUGGCCACGGAAGGACGCGGUAAGUAACGGAGUUAGGAUCGUGUUGGUGUUUGACUUAACCUGAGAGAAGUUGAGCCACUGAGUCAGAAUGAAGUCCUUGACGUAAGAGUUAGUAACCUUGGAGUUACCUGCCCUGGGGUAUGUCAGUAUGGAUGAUGGGGUUACCACUGGUUCGAAAAUCUGUGAGAGUGACCAUGGUACAGAGGGCGGAAUUUUUCCGUGGAUAAGGUUUACAGGUUAGGACCUGAAGGUGGUGUGGGUGGUUUCUCAAAAUUUCUUGCCAACCCUUUUCUUCUUUUACUAAUCAUUAUUCUCUCUCAAAUUUUUAUCUCAAACCACAGAUGCCGCUUCUACAUUCCAAGUGACAUGGCACCAGGAUGACACCACCCACUCUCAGUUUAUGGGUCAAGGUGAUUGCCCUUCCACUGGCUGCAAUUGGGCUGUCCACCCUUAACAUUACUGGAUUCAACAAAGCCACCUCCAAUACUUCCUAGAAUCCCUGCUACAGAACUAGUGGCUGAUACCAAGAAUCUCCUCCGGCCAGGACUGGUUUGAUGCCAUCGAUGACUUGUGGCUUCAAGGAACUUUUAUGGACUUUACCCCUACCAAAGCAGUUGUCUGUAGCCACUGGGUUUUAUUUCUGGCUGCCCUGGUAUUCUCAGACCUGUCCCCCGAACAUUCCUCGACUUCCCCUUCUAGGUCCAACGCUGCCCACCAUUAAGCAGGAAGUAGCCAGAGGACUUUACGCCGUCCCCCAUGUCACUUAGAAAAACAAAAAGGGAGGAAUGUUAGGUGCAGGACAGGCUGAGUAAGCUGUCUGCAGGACAGGCUGAGUAAGCUGUUUAGAGGGCAUGCCAAAGUUAGCUGCAGGGUGACCAGGCCUCUCAAACCCUCUGUCUGGUUCUUUAUCAACUAUUUGCUUCAAGCCCAAAUGCCCAAGCCCCCACUUAAGGCUGAACACUCAACCCCCUGCUCAAGGCCGAACACUUAACCCCCCUUGUGCCAACAAGGCAGCUUGCAGACCCAGAUAACUCAUUAGAUUUGGGCUAUAAAAACUCCCUCCUGCCGGGUCCCUCUCUCUCUUGCUCUCUCUUUUGCUUUCUCUGUCUCUCUCUUGUGUGGGCUUCCUCUCUCUCUCUCUCCUUCUCUCUCUCUCUCUUCUCCUCUGUUGCACUGCUGCAAUAAAGCUCUCUUGGUCGCUCUGA
rnacentral:lncRNA from 1 species